UACGUAGGGUGCAAGCGUUGUCCGGAAUUAUUGGGCGUAAAGAGCUCGUAGGCGGCUAUUCAAGUCAGAGGUGAAAGCCCUGGGCUCAACCCAGGAAUUGCCUUUGAAACUGUGUAGCUAGAGUGUCGGAGGGGAUAGCGGAAUUCCUAAUGUAGAGGUGAAAUUCGUAGAUAUUAGGAGGAACACCGGUGGCGAAGGCGGCUAUCUGGACGACAACUGACGCUGAGGCGCGAAAGCGUGGGGAUCAAACAGG
rnacentral:rRNA from 1 species